AUAGACGGGGCCCCCGCCCCAAGGGCUGGGGACAUGGGUCUUAAUUUUGAAAGAUGGGGGAAAGAACUUUUACAUAGCCUUGAAACUUUUUUAGAACCCUUUUAGAGAUAGAGUGCCCCCUUUCGGGAGCUAAUUUACAGGUGCGGCACGGCUGUCGUCAGCUCGUGUCGUGAGAUGUUGGGUUAAGUCCCGCAACGAGCGCAACCCUCGUCACUAGUUACUAACGGUUCGGCCGAGGACUCUAGUGAGACUGCCUUCGUAAGGAGGAGGAAGGUGAGGACGACGUCAAGUCAUCAUGGCCCUUACGGCUAGGGCAACACACGUGCUACAAUGGCCAGGACAAUGAGACGCGAUACCGCGAGGUGGAGCAAAUCUAUAAACCUGGUCUCAGUUCGGAUUGUAGUCUGCAACUCGACUACAUGAAGCUGGAAUCACUAGUAAUCGUAGAUCAGCUAUGCUACGGUGAAUACGUUCCCGGGUCUUGCACACACCGCCC
rnacentral:rRNA from 1 species